rnacentral:lncRNA from 1 species
AACAAAAAAAUUUGCAGCCGUCAUUUUAGUUAGAUUAUCCUGCAUGAAGGGUCGCUUGAGAUACAUGAGCAACAGAGGAUGGAGAGGCAUCAAUGAUUUUUCAGGUCGCUUAUUUUUAAUUGGGUAACCAUGUAGUUUUCAACAAACAUCAGCUGUGUGUAGCGCCGUCACAGUAAUGCAGGCCCAAUAGAAAGGGCUGAAGUAGCUUACUUUGACUCAUUCUUCUAGAUAGCCAAAACUAAAGCCUCUGAAACCACAUCUGUAACCAUAGUAACUUGCCUAUAUACUUCACGACAUACAAAUAAGUAGGUCUCCUCUUCCAGACUUGGACAAGAGAUGCCGAAACAUGACUACUAACUUGAUCCAAACUGUGGUCAUGACCUAUAACAUAUAUGCCCGAUCACCAAAAAUACGCUCUUUGUUUCACAAUAUGAUAGCAUUAAGCCUCCAGUUAUCAAAUUCCAAAAAUAUGGAGUAUUCAACAAGGGGCUGACCAUCUUGACGCAACUAGAAUGAUUUCUUCAUGUGUUCACAUGCCUGUAAAAAGUUAUAAACAUCAAGCUAACUCCUUUUACUGCAUCCUAAAAAUAUUUAGCCGUGUGGCACUGAACAAAAUGCAGCAUAAGGUUGUUAGUCAUGGUACUUGUAGGAAUCCCGUAAUUUUAGAAUAAUAUUUAUAGUAUUAUUGUAUAUAUGGUAAUUAGAUUGGAAAAUUUUGUUUUCUUCAAUUAGGAGAUUACAUACCUUUUCUCUCAACCUCAUUGUACUAUAAAUAAGGAUGUAAGGGUGUAAAGAAUUAUGUGAAAAUAAAAAUUCCCUUUCACUGCGUUUAUGGUAUCAGAGCUCAGCUAGCAUUAGAACCGUCAGUCCAUGGCGGAAAAACCAGUCAACAACAAAGAAUCCAACACCGCCGAUUCAAUAACAAGCGAUGCUGAAUCUGUCCCCACCAUGAGUUCAAUCGGAAUGGAUAGUUCAUCCUUCCAACUCACGGUGGAAAAACUCAAUGAGAAGAAUUACAGAGUGUGGGCCCAAUCAAUUAAGCUGGUAGUCGAUGGAAAAGGGAAAUUAGGAUAUCUCACCGGUGAAACAAAACAACCCACGGAGACAAAUCUUCUAAAAUAGUGGAAAUCUAAAAACUCGAUGGUGAUGGCUUGGCUGGUUAAUUCCAUGAAGCCGUUGAUUAGUAAAACUUACCUCUUCAUGCCGAUUGCAAAGGAUAUAUGGGAAGCGGCUCGUGAGAUAUAUUCAGACACCGAAGAUUCAUCUCAAAUAUUUGAAAUUAAGACCAGACUAUGGCAGAUGAAGCAAGGGGACAAAGAUGUCACUAAGUAUUGCAUGGUAAAACAAUGGGACUGCCCUGGCGAUGGAGUUCGGUAUAAAAAACGACUGGAGAAUGAAAGGGUAUACGAAUUUUUGGUCGAAUUGAAUAGAGAGCUUGAUGACGUGCGUAGCCGAAUCUUAAGCCGCCGACCACUACCACCUACUCGUGAAGUCUUCGCAGAGGUGAAACGGGAGGAAAGCCAACAACAGAUCAUGUUGAAGAAUGAAGCUGGGCCUAACGUGGAGAAUUCAACCCUAGUGACACAUUCAAAUGGACCGAUUAUUGGGUCUAACCCUAGUGGGCAGACCUCAAUAAAUCGGCUGAAAGGUAUUAGUGAGUUUGGGCUUGAGGGGCUUGCAGUAAAAUACAAAACAAUCAAGUGUGAGUGGAUUUAAAAAUGUUAGGCCUGAUGGGUCAACCCAAUUAUUUAGAAGCAGCAAAAAUGGACCAAGCCCAAGACAACAAAAGGAGCGCCCAUGGUGUGACCAUUGUAAAAAACCUGAACAUAGAGAAAACACAUGUCGGGAUCUACACGGAAAACCAACAGAUUGGAAACUAAGACAAAAUGCCAGAAAUCAAAGUUAUCAAGCGGGAAUUGACUCCACUGGAACAAAAAAUAGCACAUCAAGUAGCGCCUUUAAUUCUGAACAGUUGGAACAACUAUACAAAAUGUUUUCCAAUUUCCAAACAACCAGCUCAUCAGGUUCAUUGGCUCACAGAGGUAAUUUCUUUAGAACCCUAAAUAUUACUGCACAUGCCAGAGCGCCAUGGAUUAUCGACUCAGGGGCAUCCAAUCAUAUGACAGACUCUUAUAAUCUAUUUAUUACAUAUUCAACAUGUGCUGUUAAUCUCAAAGUAAAAAUUGCAAAUGGCUCUCUCCUGGAAAAGGGAGUAUCCAAAUCUCUAAAACGAUACAACUAGAAAAUGUUCUUCACGUUCCAAAUCUGUCAUGCAAUCUACUGUCCAUUAGCCAACUGACUAAAAAUUAUAAUUGCUCUGCUAACUUAUUUCCCUCUUAUUGUGUAUUUCAGGACCUAUCAUCGGAGAAGACGAUUGAUAGUGCUAAAGAGAUUGAGGGACUCUACUAAUUUGAUGAAGCCGAUGUGAGUAAACAACGUCAAUUUGCUAGCUGUGAUUCUGCAUUUACCUCUUAAGAAUAGUGAGAUACUAUUAUGGCAUAAUAGAAUGGGACACCUCAACUUUCAAUUUUUAGGACAUGUAUUUCCCUCAAUUUUUUCGAAUAAAGUGAAUUUUGAUCUUACAUGUGAAGUAUGUGAACUUGCAAAACAUCACCGCUCUUCAUUUCCAAAAUCCACGUAUAAACCGUCAAAACCAUUUACCCUUAUCCACAGUGAUGUUUGGGGACCUUCACGAAUUCCCAAUCGUCGAUGACCACACCCAAAUCUGUUGGGUUUAUAUGUCCAAAAAAAAAUCUGAUGUUCGGUCAGUUUUUAUCGACUUCCACACAAUUCCAAACACGAAUUCAAAUUCUGCGCAUGGAUAAUGGCACAGAAUAUUUCAACAAUACCCUACAAACCUACCUUCAAGAAAAUGGGAUAAUCCAUCGAAGUUCGUGUGUAGAUACUCCUCAACAAAAUGGGAUUGCUGAAUGAAAAAACAUGCAUCUCCUUCAGGUUGCUCAAGCCCUUAUGUUCACUACAAAUAUGCCUAAAUUAUUCUGGUGGGCGCUAUUUUAACAUCAGCUUACCUUGUAAAUAGAAUGCCUAGUUGCACCCUCAAUUUUGAAUCCCCUAUCAAAAAAUUCCGAGAAUUCUUUCCUAGCUCUCGAGUCAGCUCAAAUUUACCUCUAAAGGUGUUUGGAUGCACAAGCUUUGUUCAUAUUCACUCUCAUGACGAAAUAAACUUGAACCCCGUGCUGUCAAAUGUGUAUUUAUUGGAUACUCACCUACAUAAAAGGGAUACAAAUGUUAUGAUCCAAACACAAAAAGGUUAUUGGUUAGCCUUGAUUUCACCUUCUUCGAAAAAAAUCCUUAUUUCCAAAAAUCCUCUCUGUAGGGGGAGAAAUCGAGUGAAGAUCGAUUCUUGGAAACCUCCCUUUCUACUCCAUUUUUAACACCACCAUCAUCACCAAACAGUUCUAAUAUGCCAUUUACAAGGACAACUUGAAUUUAGGGGGAGAUCAGGAAAUACAACGCAAAUAGAUAAAAGUCUAUUUAUGAAGGCCAAAAUCAAAGGAGGAAAACCCCACACUCGUAACACCAAGAGAGUCAGAAUCGAUGAUAGCUCCAGAUCCCCAUGAGCCUACUCCUGAACUAUCAAAUAUAGAUCUACCAAUUGCUCUAAAGAAACCCACUCGAUCAUGUACCCUUCACCCUAUCUCAAAAUUCAUAAUUUACAAAACUUUAUCUCCAAGAUUUCGAACCUUUGUCUCUAACCUUGACAACACAAAAAUCCCAAGAAAUAUUCAAGAAGAUUUAGAAACUCCAAAAUGGAGAGAAUCUGUGAUGGAAGAAAUGAGAGCAUUGGAAGCAAAUGAAACGUGGGAUAUAAUGGAACUACCAAAAGGUAAGAAACCUGCUGGAUGUAAAUGGGUGUAUAAUGUGAAGUACAAAACAGACGGGACAGUAGAAGGGUACAAGGCCCACCUAGUUGCAAAUGGACACACUCAGACCUAUGGAAUAGAUUACACAAACAUUUGCACCGGUAGCAAAAUUGAAUACGAUCCGUGUCCUAUUAUUAUUAGCAGUAAAUUUAGAUUUAGCAGUAAAUUUAGAUUGGCAACUCCAACAGCUUGAUAUUAAAAAUGCAUUUUUGAAUGAGGAGUUAGAGGAAGAAGUCUAUAUGACAUUACCACCAGGCUUUUGUAAAAGAAAUGAAGGCAAUAAUGUGUGCAAACUAAAAAAGUCUCUAUACGGCCUCAAGCAGUCACCAAAAGCAUGGUUUGACAGAUUUGCAAGUGUGUUGAAGAAUUAGGGAUAUCGUCAAGGGCGGUCAGACCACAAUAUGUUUUUCAGAAUAUUUGAAGAUGAAACAAGGACCAUUCUGAUCGUGUAUGUUGAUGACAUUAUCCUCACAGGUGACAACACAGUUGAGGUAGAAAGAUUGAAACUGAGUCUAGCCACAGAAUUUGAAGUAAAAGAUUUGGAACAACUGCGAUAUUUUCUGGGAAUGGAAGUGGCCAGAUCAAGGAAAGGUAUUAUUGUCUCACAACGAAAAUACGUCCUAGAUCUACUAACUGAAACUGGCAUGCUUGGUUGCAAAUCAAGUGACACCCCCAUGGAAUUUGGGAGGAAGACGGACAACGUGGGGAAAUCGGUUGAUAAGGACAGGAAUCAGCGACUAGUUGGGAAACUAAUCUACCUAUUACACACUAGACCAGACAUUGCAUUUGCAGUUAGUGUGGUGAGUCAACAUAUGCAUCCUCCUAAGGAAGCUCAUUUAGAAGCAGUAUAUAGAAUCCUGAGGUAUCUCAAAGGUACUCCCGGCAAAGGAUUGUUCUUCAAGAGAACUGAGAAGAGAAAUGUAGAAAUAUUCACAGAUGUUAAUUGGGCAGGAUCAAUGGAAAAAAGAUGAUCAACUACAGGCUAUUGUUCCUUCGUAUGGGGAAACUUGGUAACAUGGAGAAGUAAGAAACAAAAUGUAGUUCCUUGAAGUAGUGCUGAAGCAGAAUUUCGGGCAACGGCCCAGGGUAUAUGUGAAGGACUAUUGUUAAGGAAACUUUUGGGAGAAUUACAAGUUACAAUGAAACUUCCAAUCAAACUCUACUAUGACAACAAAGUUGCGAUCAAUAUUUCACUCAAUCUAGUUCAACAUGAUCGCACCAAACAUGUAGAGGUAAAUAAACACUUUAUCAAAGAAAAAGUUGAUGAUGGAACUAUUUGCAUGACCUAUAUUCCUACCAAAGAACAAACGGCGAAUGUGUUCACUUAAGGACUACACAGACAACAUUUUGACGACUUUAUUUGCAAGUUGGAUAUGAUCAAUAUCUACAAUCCAACUUGAAAAGGAGUGUAGGAAUCCCGUAAUUUUAGAAUAAUAUUUAUAGUAUUAUUGUAUAUAUGGUAAUUAGAUUGGAAAAAAUUGUUUUCUUUAAUUAGGAGAUUACAUACCUUUUCUCACAACCUCAUUGUACUAUAAAUAAGGAUGUAAGGGUGUAAAGAAUUAUGUGAAAAUAAAAAUUCUCUUUCACUG